GAUGAACGCUGGCGGCGUGCCUAAUACAUGCAAGUCGAACGAGUUCUGAUUAUUGAAAGGUGCUUGCAUCUUGAUUUAAUUUUGAACGAGUGGCGGACGGGUGAGUAACACGUGGGUAACCUGCCCUUAAGUGGGGGAUAACAUUUGGAAACAGAUGCUAAUACCGCAUAAAUCCAAAAACCGCAUGGUUCUUGGCUGAAAGAUGGCGUAAGCUAUCGCUUUUGGAUGGACCCGCGGCGUAUUAGCUAGUUGGUGAGGUAACGGCUCACCAAGGCAAUGAUACGUAGCCGAACUGAGAGGUUGAUCGGCCACAUUGGGACUGAGACACGGCCCAAACUCCUACGGGAGGCAGCAGUAGGGAAUCUUCCACAAUGGACGCAAGUCUGAUGGAGCAACGCCGCGUGAGUGAAGAAGGCUUUCGGGUCGUAAAACUCUGUUGUUGGAGAAGAAUGGUCGGCAGAGUAACUGUUGUCGGCGUGACGGUAUCCAACCAGAAAGCCACGGCUAACUACGUGCCAGCAGCCGCGGUAAUACGUAGGUGGCAAGCGUUAUCCGGAUUUAUUGGGCGUAAAGCGAGCGCAGGCGGUUUUUUAAGUCUGAUGUGAAAGCCCUCGGCUUAACCGAGGAAGUGCAUCGGAAACUGGGAAACUUGAGUGCAGAAGAGGACAGUGGAACUCCAUGUGUAGCGGUGAAAUGCGUAGAUAUAUGGAAGAACACCAGUGGCGAAGGCGGCUGUCUGGUCUGUAACUGACGCUGAGGCUCGAAAGCAUGGGUAGCGAACAGGAUUAGAUACCCUGGUAGUCCAUGCCGUAAACGAUGAAUGCUAGGUGUUGGAGGGUUUCCGCCCUUCAGUGCCGCAGCUAACGCAUUAAGCAUUCCGCCUGGGGAGUACGACCGCAAGGUUGAAACUCAAAGGAAUUGACGGGGGCCCGCACAAGCGGUGGAGCAUGUGGUUUAAUUCGAAGCAACGCGAAGAACCUUACCAGGUCUUGACAUCUUUUGAUCACCUGAGAGAUCAGGUUUCCCCUUCGGGGGCAAAAUGACAGGUGGUGCAUGGUUGUCGUCAGCUCGUGUCGUGAGAUGUUGGGUUAAGUCCCGCAACGAGCGCAACCCUUAUGACUAGUUGCCAGCAUUUAGUUGGGCACUCUAGUAAGACUGCCGGUGACAAACCGGAGGAAGGUGGGGAUGACGUCAAAUCAUCAUGCCCCUUAUGACCUGGGCUACACACGUGCUACAAUGGAUGGUACAACGAGUUGCAAGACCGCGAGGUCAAGCUAAUCUCUUAAAGCCAUUCUCAGUUCGGACUGUAGGCUGCAACUCGCCUACACGAAGUCGGAAUCGCUAGUAAUCGCGGAUCAGCACGCCGCGGUGAAUACGUUCCCGGGCCUUGUACACACCGCCCGUCACACCAUGAGAGUUUGUAACACCCGAAGCCGGUGGCGUAACCCUUUUAGGGAGCGAGCCGUCUAAGGUGGGACAAAUGAUUAGGGUG
rnacentral:rRNA from 2 species